rnacentral:rRNA from 1 species
UACGUAGGCAGCGAGCGUUGUUCGGAAUUACUGGGCGUAAAGAGUGUGUAGGCGGUGCUCUAAGUUCGGUGUGAAAUCUCCUGGCUUAACUGGGAGGGUGCGCCGGAAACUGGAGUGCUUGAGCGUGGGAGAGGAAAGACGGAAUUCCUGGUGUAGCGGUGAAAUGCGUAGAUAUCAGGAGGAACACCUGUGGUGUAGACGGCUUUCUGGACCAUUGCUGACGCUGGAGACACGAAAGCGUGGGUAGCAAACAGG